AACGAACGCUGGCGGCAGGCUUAAUACAUGCAAGUCGAACGAUUAAAGCUCUUUCGGGAGUGUAUAAAGUGGCGAACGGGUGAGUAACGGGUGGAUUAUCUGCCUUUCGGUGGGGGAUAACGGCUGGAAACGGCCGCUAAUACCGCGUACGAUUGCGCAAGCAAGGAAAGGCGCUGCAAGGCGCCGCCGGAAGAUGAGUCCGCCUCCCAUUAGCUAGUUGGUGAGAUAAUAGCCCACCAAGGCUUCGAUGGGUAGCCGAGCUGAGAGGUUGAUCGGCCACACUGGAACUGAGACACGGUCCAGACACCUACGGGAGGCUG
rnacentral:rRNA from 1 species